UUUGGCUAGCCCCCCAUUGUCAGACGUCCCGAGCGCGUCCCCGAAGUCGGAAUCGGCAAAGGUGAGCCGGGACAACCUUCUUCCUCCGCCCAGCCGCCACAGUAAUUUGUCGUCAAGUUUGCCACAGGAGGAUAUUUUGUUCUGGGUUAACCUGCUUUUCUACCUCGCAGGUUGUUUAUCAAUAUUGUGUAAUUUUAAUUACUCCUAGAAUUUCCGCAUGUGUUAGCAGUAAUUAUUUGAAUUUGGUCUGUAAUAUUAUUAUCAUGUUGGACCUGUAAACUAAAUAUGCUAUGCAUGUUUGAUGGAUUGGAUGAGGGAGCUGAGCUCCCAUUUAUUUUAUGUUGAUGAGUAUGUGGAGGGUGAGCUGAGCUCCCCAAAUGACUAUA